rnacentral:rRNA from 1 species
CGAGAGGACCGGAGUGGACGCAUCACUGGUGUUCGGGUUGUCAUGCCAAUGGCACUGCCCGGUAGCUAAAUGCGGAAGAGAUAAGUGCUGAAAGCAUCUAAGCACGAAACUUGCCCCGAGAUGAGUUCUCCCUGACUCCUUGAGAGUCCUGAAGGAACGUUGAAGACGACGACGUUGAUAGGCCGGGUGUGUAAGCGCAGCGAUGCGUUGAGCUAACCGGUACUAAUGAACCGUGAGGCUUAACCUU